UGGGGAAUUUUGGACAAUGGGCGAAAGCCUGAUCCAGCAAUGCCGCGUGUGUGAAGAAGACCUUCGGGUUGUAAAGCACUUUUGUCCGGAAAGAAAUCCUUGGCUCUAAUACAGUCGGGGGAUGACGGUACCGGAAGAAUAAGCACCGGCUAACUACGUGCCAGCAGCCGCGGUAAUACGUAGGGUGCAAGCGUUAAUCGGAAUUACUGGGCGUAAAGCGUGCGCAGGCGGUUUGCUAAGACCGAUGUGAAAUCCCCGGGCUCAACCUGGGAACUGCAUUGGUGACUGGCAGGCUAGAGUAUGGCAGAGGGGGGUAGAAUUCCACGUGUAGCAGUGAAAUGCGUAGAGAUGUGGAGGAAUACCGAUGGCGAAGGCAGCCCCCUGGGCCAAUACUGACGCUCAUGCACGAAAGGCGUGGGGAGCAAACAGGAUUAGAUACCCUGGUAGUCCACGCCCUAAACGAUGUCAACUAGUUGUUGGGGAUUCAUUUCCUUAGUAACGUAGCUAACGCGUGAAGUUGACCGCCUGGGGAGUACGGUCGCAAGAUUAAAACUCAAAUGAAUUGACGGGGUCAUA
rnacentral:rRNA from 1 species